UACGUAGGGUCCGAGCGUUGUCCGGAAUUACUGGGCGUAAAGAGCUCGUAGGUGGUUUGUCGCGUUGUCCGUGAAAACUCACAGCUCAACUGUGGGCGUGCGGGCGAUACGGGCAGACUGGAGUACUGCAGGGGAGACUGGAAUUCCUGGUGUAGCGGUGGAAUGCGCAGAUAUCAGGAGGAACACCAACGGCGAAGGCAGCACUCUGGGCCGGUACUGACGCUGAGGAGCGAAAGCGUGGGGAGCAAACAGG
rnacentral:rRNA from 1 species